rnacentral:sRNA from 1 species
UGCUUUGAAGAUCUUGUGAUCGCCGUCGA